UGCUCUGGGACACUUUAUAGUCCUGAGAGUUGAGCACUGGAUGACUGACAGCUGUCCUUCAUGACAACAGAAGCCACAGGAAUCCUCCUCAUCAAGAACAUGACUUUGAUCUGCGUCCUCAUCUGGACUCUCCUCUGCUGCUGCUUCACAGAGUCCAGAGGCCAGGUCACAGUGACUCAGUCUGGAGCAGUGAGCUCGGCUCCGGGACGCUCCGUCUCCAUCACAUGUACGACCAGUCAGAAGGUUUAUGGACAUAGCACUGACAAACACCGUUUAGCCUGGUACCAACAGAGAGAUGGAGGAACUCCUAAACUGCUCAUUUACGAUGCUAGCACUCGAGCAUCAGGGAUUUCAGAGCGUUUUACAGGCAGUGGAUCAAACUCUGACUUCACUCUGACCAUCAGUGGAGUCCAGACUGAUGAUGCAGCAGUUUACUACUGUCAGAGUUUCCAUUUCCCCAACAGUCAGUAUGUGGUUCACACAGUGAAAAAGCGUCAUACAAAAACCUCCCUCAGUCAGACUGAACAGGAACUGAACUGA